ACUAGGAGCCGAUGAAGGACGUGAUAAGCUGCGAUAAGCUUCGGGGAGUUGCACGUAAACUUUGAUCCGAAGAUUUCCGAAUGAGGAAACUCACUUAGAGUAAUGUCUAAGUAUCAUUAAGUGAAUACAUAGCUUAAUGAGGGGAACUCAGGGAACUGAAACAUCUAAGUACCUGAAGGAAGAGAAAGAAAUUCGAUUCCGUAAGUAGCGGCGAGCGAACGCGGAUUAGCC
rnacentral:rRNA from 1 species